rnacentral:lncRNA from 1 species
UCCGCCCCUAAACUGACCUUCGAUAAUAUUUUUACUCUUCUUUUUAUAAAAUUUGGUUUUUAAUAACAAAAUGGUAAAUAAAUAUAGCAAUAUAAACCCAUUUAUAUAUAUUACUAAACAAAUUGUGAAAUGAAAAUGGCCUUGAAGCUAUUGUCUCUCUCACUCUCCCCGUCCACUCUGGCUGCACAUUUGCAACUUGCUAAAGGCGGCGACUGAAUUGGGUCAAUUAUGCAUGGCUAGCUCCUUCACUCGACACUGAUAUUAGUUUGUAGCUGGAAUUGACCAUAUUUGGCUUUCCAAACGGAUAUGGACAUGCCAAGCAGUAAGAACACAAAAAGGAAGACGGUAUAUGAUUCCAAUAGGAAAGGUGCAAAGGUU